rnacentral:rRNA from 1 species
UGGGGAAUUUUGGACAAUGGGGGCAACCCUGAUCCAGCCAUUCCGCGUGAGUGAAGAAGGCCUUCGGGUUGUAAAGCUCUUUCGGCAGGAACGAAACGGCGAGCUCUAACAUAGCUUGCUAAUGACGGUACCUGAAGAAGAAGCACCGGCUAACUACGUGCCAGCAGCCGCGGUAAUACGUAGGGUGCGAGCGUUAAUCGGAAUUACUGGGCGUAAAGCGUGCGCAGGCGGUUGUGUAAGACAGGUGUGAAAUCCCCGGGCUUAACCUGGGAACUGCGCUUGUGACUGCACGGCUAGAGUAUGGCAGAGGGGGGUGGAAUUCCACGUGUAGCAGUGAAAUGCGUAGAGAUGUGGAGGAACACCGAUGGCGAAGGCAGCCCCCUGGGCCAAUACUGACGCUCAUGCACGAAAGCGUGGGGAGCAAACA